rnacentral:lncRNA from 1 species
CGUUUCUAACUGCCAACAUCUUCUUGGCUAACUAGCUCACCCGCUACGUCUGUCGCACUGGGUCGGCCCCUCUUCUCUGUUUCAUAAAACUCUAUCAGCUGCUCUCUCUGGAGGUUGCUCAUCAUGCAUGGGCUGUGUCAAGGCUUCUGAGCCCGUGACUGCCAUCUCCACAAGACUGUGCCAUGUCCUAUUCCCACCAGAAGCCUGGAGCCCACGCAAGCUCCUGAAAGCAUCUACUAAUGAGCCAAAGGGGAAGGGAGAGGCCCACAUGUGAGUUAAAGGUGUCACUUUGGCAGCUGCAGGAAUUGAACCCAGAGCUGUGUGCGUGCUAGGCAAGUGCCCGACCACUGAGCUAUCACCCCAGCCCUUGCACAGGUUUCUUUAUUUUGUUAUUAAAAUUUAAUUUUGAU